rnacentral:rRNA from 1 species
CAGUUAAAAGCUCGUAAUUCCAGCUCAAAAGCGUAUAUUAAAGUUGUUGCAGUUAAAAAGCUCGUAGUUGAAGUUCUGGCUGUAUUGGGCCUCUGCACUUGAUGCGAAGGAACCAGCAGUCAUCCGCUUGCAAAUACAUGUUCUUCCUUAACCGGUAGACUGUAUAAGUAAGCAAUUUACCUUGAGAAAACAGAGUGUUCCAGGCAGGUUUGUCCGGAAUGCAUUAGCAUGGAAUAAUAGAAUAUGACUAGAGUCGAUUUGUUGGUUAAAGGCUUUAGUAAUGAUUAAUAGGAACAAUCGGGGGCAUUGGUACUCGUCAGUCAGAGGUGAAAUUCUAAGAUUUGACGAAGACUAACUGAUGCGAAAGCGUUUGCCAAGAAUGUUUUCAUUAAUCAAGAACGAAAGUUAGGGGGAUCAAAGACGAUUAGAUACCGUCCUAGUCUUAACUAUAAACUAUACCGACUCGGAUUCAGAUGAAUAUUAAAGUUCAUUUGGGACCGUAGGAGAAAUCAUAAGUUUUUGGGUUCUGG